rfam:Gossypium hirsutum cultivar TM-1 unplaced genomic scaffold scaffold613.1, whole genome shotgun sequence
UGUUAAAACUUGUAUCCAUUUGUACUAUUAAAAACUGGCAUGGUUGUCAGAAUAAUCAUACAGUGACAUCUGACAUGCCACGUGUAACUCAUGGUAACAUGCAUGAACUAAUUUUUAACAGUAGAAAUGGAUGAAAUUUUUAAUA